rnacentral:rRNA from 1 species
CACGUAGGGUGCGAGCGUUGUCCGGAAUUAUUGGGCGUAAAGAGCUCGUAGGCGGUGUGUCGCGUCGGCCGUGAAAACCUGUGGCUCAACCCUGGGAUGCCGGUCGAUACUGCCGGACUAGAGUUCGGAAGAGGCGAGUGGAAUUCCCGGUGUAGCGGUGAAAUGCGCAGAUAUCGGGAGGAACACCAAUGGCGAAGGCAGUUCGCUGGGACGUUACUGACGCUGAGACGCGAAAGCGUGGGGAGCAAACAGG